rnacentral:rRNA from 1 species
UACGUAGGGGGCAAGCGUUGUCCGGAAUUAUUGGGCGUAAAGAGCGCGUAGGCGGUCCGAUAAGUCGGCUGUGAAAGUCAUGGGCUCAACCCAUGAAAGCCGGCCGAUACUGUCGGACUAGAGUCCGGAAGAGGCGAGUGGAAUUCCCGGUGUAGCGGUGAAAUGCGCAGAUAUCGGGAGGAACACCAAUGGCGAAGGCAGCUCGCUGGGACGGUACUGACGCUGAGACGCGAAAGCGUGGGGAGCAAACAGG